rnacentral:rRNA from 1 species
AGAGUUUGAUCCUGGCUCAGAUUGAACGCUGGCGGCAUGCCUAACACAUGCAAGUCGAGCGGCAGCGUGGGGGCGACCCUGGCGGCGAGCGGCGGACGGGUGAGUAAGGCAUCGGAACGUAUCCUUGAGUGGGGGAUAACGCAGCGAAAGUUGUGCUAAUACCGCAUAAGCUCUGAGGAGGAAAGCGGGGGACCGAAAGGCCUCGCGCUGAAGGAGCGGCCGAUGUCCGAUUAGCUAGUUGGUGAGGUAAAGGCUUACCAAGGCGACGAUCGGUAGCUGGUCUGAGAGGACGACCAGCCACACUGGGACUGAGACACGGCCCAGACUCCUACGGGAGGCGAC